rnacentral:rRNA from 1 species
UGAGUGGCGACGGGUGAGUAACGCGUGGGCAACCUGGCCUGUACAGGGGGAUAACACUUAGAAAUAGGUGCUAAUACCGCAUAACGGGGGAANCCGCAUGGCUUUUCCCUGAAAACUCCGGUGGUACAGGAUGGGCCCGCGUCUGAUUAGCCAGUUGGCAGGGUAACGGCCUACCAAAGCGACGAUCAGUAGCCGGCCUGGAGAGGGCGGACGGCCACACUGGGACUGAGACACGGCCCAGACUCCUACGGGAGGCAGCAG